UACGUAGGCAGCGAGCGUUGUUCGGAAUUACUGGGCGUAAAGAGUGUGUAGGCGGUGCUCUAAGUUCGGUGUGAAAUCUCCCGGCUUAACUGGGAGGUGCGCCGGAACUGGAGUGCUCGAGCGUGGGAGAGGAAAGCGGAAUUCCUGGUGUAGCGGUGAAAUGCGUAGAUAUCAGGAGGAACACCUGCGGUGUAGACGGCUUUCUGGACCAUUGCUGACGCUGAGACACGAAAGCGUGGUAGCAAACAGG
rnacentral:rRNA from 1 species